AAUAUACUCCCUCCAUCCGGAAAUACUUGUCAUCAAAAUGGAUAAAAGGAAAUGUUAUCUAGACGUAUUUUAGUUUUAGAUACAUCUCUUUUUAUCCAUUUUGAUGACAAGUAUUUUUGGACGGAGGGAGUAUUUA
rfam:Triticum aestivum genome assembly, contig: Triticum_aestivum_CS42_TGACv1_scaffold_409190_5BL